rnacentral:lncRNA from 1 species
CAAGCAGGUCGUGUUUCUCCAAAGGCCAGUGACAUGGAACUCAGCUGCUCAGACCCCAGAAAAUGGCCUAUAUGUCACCUUACAGAGGUAGCAGGUUCCAGUCUAUAUAUACAUCUGCUCUCCCUACUGGAAGGAAGAGAGUGACAACUGGAAAGGACCCUCUCUGACUCGAACCUGCAAAAGCAACCCUCUGUGAGAUAAUCUGCUCCCUCACCACUCCCUGGAGGCUCUGGCAUCGCUUUCCUUGCCGGUCUCUUGCUUCCAGCCUGUCAGCCUCUCAAAAAGCUAUGCUGAAUUCAGUCUUCCACACCAAGCCAUUCCUUUGCCUUUUUCUUCUUUAUAACGAAGUCCCUGUGUGCAUACAAAAUAAAUCCGUGCUGCUAACC